rnacentral:rRNA from 1 species
ACGCUCGACACCUACGGGAGGCGGCAGUAGGGAAUCUUCCACAAUGGGCGCAAGCCUGAUGGAGCAACACCGCGUGAGUGAAGAAGGGUUUCGGCUCGUAAAGCUCUGUUGUUGGAGAAGAACGUGCGUGAGAGUAACUGUUCACGCAGUGACGGUAUCCAACCAGAAAGUCACGGCUAACUACGUGCCAGCAGCCGGGUAGUCUGAGCGGGCUGGCAAGGC